GGAUCCAGACUUUGAUCAUGGCUCAGGAUGAACGCUAGCUACAGGCUUAACACAUGCAAGUCGAGGGGAAACGACAUCGAAAGCUUGCUUUUGAUGGGCGUCGACCGGCGCGCGGGUGAGUAACGCGUAUCCAACCUGCCCAUCACUUGGGAAUAACCUUGCGAAAGUAAGACUAAUACCCAAUGAUAUCCCACGAAGGCAUCCGAAUGGGAUUAAAGAUUUAUCGGUGAUGGAUGGGGAUGCGUCUGAUUAGCUUGUUGGCGGGGUAACGGCCCACCAAGGCAACGAUCAGUAGGGGUUCUGAGAGGAAGGUCCCCCACAUUGGAACUGAGACACGGUCCAAACUCCUACGGGAGGCAGCAGUGAGGAAUAUUGGUCAAUGGGCGAGAGCCUGAACCAGCCAAGUAGCGUGCAGGAUGACGGCCCUAUGGGUUGUAAACUGCUUUUAUAAGGGAAUAAAGUGGGUCACGUGUGACUUUUUGCAUAUACCUUAUGAAUAAGGACCGGCUAAUUCCGUGCCAGCAGCCGCGGUAAUACGGAAGGUCCGGGCGUUAUCCGGAUUUAUUGGGUUUAAAGGGAGCGUAGGCCGGAGAUUAAGCGUGUUGUGAAAUGUAGAGGCUCAACCUCUGCACUGCAGCGCGAACUGGUCUUCUUGAGUACGCACAACGUGGGCGGAAUUCGUGGUGUAGCGGUGAAAUGCUUAGAUAUCACGAAGAACUCCGAUUGCGAAGGCAGCUCACGGGAGCGCAACUGACGCUGAAGCUCGAAAGUGCGGGUAUCGAACAGGAUUAGAUACCCUGGUAGUCCGCACGGUAAACGAUGGAUGCCCGCUGUUGGCCUGAAUAGGUCAGCGGCCAAGCGAAAGCAUUAAGCAUCCCACCUGGGGAGUACGCCGGCAACGGUGCAACUCA
rnacentral:rRNA from 2 species